AGAGAUGUGUGAUGACGCAUAUCAAUAAGCGGAGGAAAAGAAACUAACAAGGAUUCCCUUAGUAACGGCGAGUGAAGCGGGAAGAGCUCAAAUUUGAAAUCUUCAAGGUUCUACCUUGACGAAUUGUAGUUUGUAGAAGUGUUUUCUGUUAGUAGAGUGGCAAAAGUUCUUUGGAAUAGGACAUCAUAGAGGGUGAGAAUCCCGUAUUUGGUCAUUCUUUCUAGCUUUGUGAUACACUUUCAACGAGUCGGAUUGUUUGGGAAUGCAGUCCAAAAUGGGUGGUAAAUUUCAUCUAAAGCUAAAUAUUGGCGAGAGACCGAUAGCGAACAAGUACCGUGAGGGAAAGAUGAAAAGAACUUUGAAAAGAGAGUUAAACAGUACGUGAAAUUGUCAAAAGGGAAGCGUUUGACACCAGUGUUGUUUUUCCGAAAAUCAAUUACGAAUGUUUUGUUUUUAAGAAGUUAUGACUUCAUCGGCUUGCUUCUUUCUUUACGAAACUUUCUUAAUGCACUUUUCGGUUAACAAGUCAACAUCAAUUUCUUUUGUUGUAAAAGGGUACGAGGAAGGUGGCUUUCUUUUCGGAGAAAGUGUUUAUAGCCUUGUACUUCUGCAAUCGGAGAGAUUGAGGUCUGCAGCGUAGAUCCUUCGGGGUUAGAUACAUUUGUGCUAAGUUAUAGCUUUUCAUAGACAACUUGUUGAUUAUGUUAAGUCUUGUAGCUUACUCGCUUAUGCUAUUUUACCUACGCUUAGGAUGUUGAAGAUGUAGCACAUCAU
rnacentral:rRNA from 1 species